rnacentral:lncRNA from 1 species
CGUAGUGCAAAGAUGAAGAAGAGGGAGGAUGGAUAAGGAGAUGUAGGGAAGGGAAGGAAUAGGUUGAAGGUGGUAGAAGAAAUGAAGGUGAGUGCCACAUUAGGGUGAAAGCAUGCAAGGUGAGUGUUAUAAGGGAUUAAAUAAGGAGUGAAUGAUUAUUUCCUUACUCUAGUAAAACCAAACGGUAUUUAUGGUAUUAAGAAAAUUUUGGAUGUGUAGGAAGAAAAAUGUGGGAUGCAGGAAGAAGCCCCAAAAGAAGGAAUCGGUGUCUCUCUUAUCACCCUGAAUAUAACUUUUCAUUUUCUUCUUGCAUCCUAAAUGUUGAUAUGGGGAGAAAUAUAAGUGCUAAACCCAAUCCUUGAUGUGUUUGGUUUUUUAUGAUGACAACACAUUGAUUGUGACAACACAUACAUGUUUUUAUGACAACAACAGAAAUUUGUCUUCAUGAUUUAUACAUAUGUUGGCAUGUAAAUGUUCCUUUAUGACUGAUACAUAUGACGAUAUGUUGAU